AUUAAUAGCUUGUAAACUUAUUUAAUAAACUAAGAAUGUUUAAUCAUACUUACAUUUGAAAAAAAAAAAAACUAUGUUGACGGUAAUUCGCUAAUGAGUAACGCUAGUAAAAAUUGAUAAUAAAAAUAACGUUAAUAAGAAUAGUUGUAUCAUUAUACAGGGAAUUGUUAUUGUAACAUAUUGUUUAAAAAUAUAUACAAAACUUAAGUGUAACGUUAAUUGGUUUAUAUAAAACGAAUACACAGUUAAGGACACGAGGUUAGGUAAUUUACAAAAGCAGCACUGAAUCGCGCGCAAUAAUUAGGAUUUGUGUGCGAUUAAUAGGAAUUACACAGUAUUACCCUUUGAUCGAAACAUUUCACUCUUUUUGAUACAUCUCAUCGAUACAAGUGCGUUUCAAUCGAUAUAAAGCUGCGUGUCAAUCGAAUACUUACAGCAACAUGUUACAGAACUUAAGUUGACCUUGCAUACAAUGAACAUUGUAAUUAGUAGGUUUUCAUUCUUUCGACAAGAUUACUUUUCCUCAUUCAUAAGUAUGUCAAAGAUACGUUUUCUUUUUUUUUUCCAUAACUUUGGCAGAAAGAAAUUGAAGCAAGAGAUGUAAUGUUUGGAAGUCGGAAGUCGAUGAACAGGAAGAUAAUGUAAAUGUAGUACUAGUAGAUAGUAGCAGUAGUGAUAAUAAUAACGGUAGCAGCAGCAGCAGCAGCGGUUAUCCAAUGUGCAGCAACGUGCAAAGAACGUGUGACGCAACAAGACAGUAUGUAUUUGUAUAAACUUGAAUUGCUGAAGAAAUGAAAAGCAAGAGAUCCAAUUUUUGGUUAGUUUUUUCCGAUCUCGAAUUCUAAAUAAAAAAAAAAAAAUAAAGGAUCGUUACAUCGUCCUAACAGGUCGUAUAAUUGUACCUUAAACGAUUUAACGCGUCAAAGAAUCUAACGAUUACACUGUUAGUGUACAAACGUUUGUUUGUCCAAUGAACGAUUGCAAAUGUAAUUGUCUUAUAUUCACGAAUAAUUAAGAAAGAUAUACGGUGUACAAAUCACUGUCGCGCAAGAAAAUGUACAUACGUGCUCAUUGAACAAAUAAAAACGAUCCUGAUCGAGA